GUGCUUGCUUUGGCAGCACAUAUACUAAAAUUGGAAUGAUACAGAGAAAAUUAGCAUGGCCCCUGCACAAGGAUGACAUGCAAAUUUGUGAAGUGUUCCAUAUUUGU
rnacentral:snRNA from 1 species